rnacentral:rRNA from 1 species
GUAGGUGGCAAGCGUUGUCCGGAAUUAUUGGGCGUAAAGCGCGCGCAGGCGGUCCUUUAAGUCUGAUGUGAAAGCCCACGGCUCAACCGUGGAGGGUUAUUGGAAACUGGGGGACUUGAGUGCAGAAGAGAAGAGUGGAAUUCCACGUGUAGCGGUGAAAUGCGUAGAGAUGUGGAGGAACACCAGUGGCGAAGGCGACUCUUUGGUCUGUAACUGACGCUGAGGCGCGAAAGCGUGGGGAGCAAACAGGGAUUAGAUACCCUGGUAGUCCACGCCGUAAACGAUGAGUGCUAAGUGUUAGAGGGUUUCCGCCCCUUUAGUGCUGCAGCAAACGCAUUAAGCACUCCGCCUGGGAGUACGGCCGCAAGGCUG